UGCUAAAAGAACACCAAAAGGUGAAAUCAGCAGAAAAGAAAAAAAAAUGAAGAAGAAGAAGAGCUGCUUGAAGUCACUCCCCAAUUAAUCGAUCAAGUCCUUCACAGUUGACACCUUCAAGAAUUUCCCACUCCAAGAAAUUUUCACAACUUAGAUUUAGGCUUUGCCUCGCCACUUGAAGGAACGAGAAUUUUGGAGGAUUUAUUGUACACAUGUCAAGAGCCGCGUGACUGAAUCCCUUUUACACAAAAAGCAAUUGCUUAAUCUCAGAUAUCCUGAGCAUGUAUCAGGAGACUAAUGAUUAUCUCACAGCUCUAUCAAUUGCAUUAAGUAUGAUAUUUUUCCCUUCCUUCUCUCUCCCACAAACUUGUAUCAUAUGUCCAUAUAAUUUGCACAUCCACACACAAAAUCUGACGUCUUGGUUCUUGGUUUGUAUAUUAGAUAUGAGUUGCAGGCCAAACGGCUAUCAAAUCUUAAACCAAUGGCAAUGGAGAAGGUAAAACUUGAGAUGCUAGUGCAUUUGAAGCUGAAAUGGCAGGAAAAAAAAAGGCAGCAAGUUCAGAACCUCCAAUUUUGUGAAAUUAUCCCCUCUUAGCCUUGAGUUGAAAGCAUAGGCGUAUGUACUAGUCUAAUUUUACUUGGAAAGAAAUCGCUUCAUAACACCUACUGAAUUCAGUGAUUGCAUUUCUUGUGCUAUGAAACGCCUACUGAAUUUAGUGAUUGCAGAGACAUGCUUUAUUUUAACCUUUCAUAAGAUCAAUUGCUAGAAACCACUAAAGCAUGGUUAGGUUUGAAUUUUGAAAUAUGUCUGGAGUCCUGAUUCUUGUGGGAAUACAAGACUUCUACAAUGAGCAGUUGAGAUACAUCAUGAUUCAAUCCUUCAAACCUUGUGUUUUACCAACAUCACUUGUACCGGGUGCUUAUCUAUUUUUGUUCAAAUGAUAAUUUGGUUUAUUUUAUGCA